UUAAAAAGCUCGUAGUUGAAUUUCGGGGUCAGUAGGUCGGUCGUGCCACUGGUAUGAACUGGUUUUACUGAUUCCUCCCUCUUGAAGAACUGUAAUGCCAUUAACUUGGUGUUGCAGGGAAUCAGGACUGUUACUUUGAAAAAAUUAGAGUGUUUAAAGCAGGCUUUAGCUUGAAUACAUUAGCAUGGAAUAAUGAAAUAGGACGUUUGAUCCUAUUUUGUUGGUUUCUAGGAUUGACGUAAUGAUUAAUAGGGAUAGUUGGGGG
rnacentral:rRNA from 1 species